UCUCCAGACAAGGUGGACUACGAGUACAGUGAGCUGCUGCUGUAUCAGAACCAGGUUCUGAGGGAGGCCGGCCUGCACAAGGAGGCUCUGGAUCACCUCAACAACUAUGAGAAACAGAUCUGUGACAAACUGGCUGUGGAGGAGACAAGAGGAGAGCUGCUGCUGAAGCUGGAGAGACCUGAGGAGGCCUCUGAAGUCUACAGGAGACUCCAGGAGAGGAACCCUGAGAACUGGGCCUACUACCAGGGUCUGGAGAACGCCUUAAAGCCAGGGAGUGUAGAGGAUCGUCAGAAGAUUUAUGAGGACUCGUGGGUGAAGUUUCCUAAAGGCCUGGUUCCCCGAAGACUGCCUCUGAACUUCCU